GCCCUGAGGUGAAGGGGGGAUGCUCCCUGAGGUGUGUGGGUGCCCUGAGGUGCAGAGGGGUCCUCUCUGGGGAGAGGGGUGCCCUGAGGUGAAGGGGGGAUGCUCCCUGAGGUGUGUGGGUGCCCUGAGGUGCAGAGGGGUCCUCUCUGGGGAGAGGGGUGCCCUGAGGUGAAGGGGGGAUGCUCCCUGAGGUGUGUGGGUGCCCUGAGGUGAAGGGGGGGUCCUUCCUGAGGUGUGGGGUGCCCUGAGGUGAAAGAGGGGGUGCUUCCUGAGGUGUGGAGGUGCCCUGAAGUGCAGAGGGGUCCUCUCUGGGGUGUGGGGUGCCCUGAAGUGCAGAGAGCUGCUCCCUGGGGUGUGGGGUUCUCCCUGAGGUGAAGGAGGGGGUGCUUCCUGAGGUGUGGGGUGCCCUGAGAUGAAGGAGGGGGUGCUUCUUGAGGUGUGUGGGUGCCCUGAGGUACAGAGGGGUCCUCCCUGGGGUGUGGGGUGCCCUGAGGUGAAGGAGGGGGUGCUUCUUGAGGUGUGGGGUGCCCUGAGAUGCAGAGGGGUGCUCCCUGGGGUGUGGGGUGCUUUCUGAGGUGAAGGAGGGGGUGCUCCCUGGGGUGUGGGGUGCUUUCUGAGGUGCAGAGGGGUGCUCCCUGGGGUGUGGGGGUGCCCUGAGGUGAAAGGGCGGAGAGGUACUGCCUGAGGUGUAAGGGGGAGUUACCCGAGGUAUGGGGAUGCCUGAGCCAGAGUCCCUGAGCUUGAUGGAAGGAUGGUCCCUGAAGCAAGGGGUUUUGAGCACCCUUCUCUUGGGCUGGUAGGAAGAUGAGAGGGUGAGGUUCCGUUUUUGCUGGAGCAGGGGUCUGUGCCCCUUUCCCACCAGUACUGGAGAGUCAAGGUGCGGGUUUCCUCUCCGUGAGAGGCUGCUUCUGUGCCCAUAGAGGUGCUGGGUGCAAACUAAAGCAGGGAGUUGCAGCAUGGAUAACACCCAGAUAAAUCGGCUUUAAGCUUGGGUAACUGAUGAGGCCGGAGCAGCUGGGGUGCCCUCUCCUCUCCUGCGGUGUUGGGGGGUGAGCAUGGAUAAAAUGUACUGUGUGCUCUGAAAAGUCGUGAAAUGUUCCCUCCCAAUCACAUCCUUCCUUCAGCUAACUCUGUUUUUCCUGUUUGCUGGUAGUUGGCUUUUGGUUUACUGGGCAACCGUCCCACGUUUUAAUUUUGGAGAGCAUUAGGAGCAAGGUUAAGUGAGGAAGUCUAGGCUCUGGAUGAGGGUUUAGCAAUCCGUAUCAAACUAAGUCUGUGCCCUUUCCCCUCUUGCAUGCGGUGACUUUUA